CCUACGGGAGGCAGCAGUGAGGACUAUUGGUCAAUGGACGAGAGUCUGAACCAGCCAAGUAGCGUGAAGGAUGACUGCUCUAUGGGUUGUAAACUUCUUUUAUAAAGGAAUAAAACGAGGCAUGUGCGCUUUUUUGCAUGUACUUUAUGAAUAAGGAUCGGCUAACUCAGUGCCAGCAGCCGCGGUAAUACGGAGGAUCCGAGCGUUAUCCGGAUUUAUUGGGUGUAAAGGGAGCGUAGAUGGGUUGUUAAGUCAGUUGUGAAAGUUUGCGGCUCAACCGUCAAAUUGCAAUUGAUACUGGCAGUCUUGAGUGCAGUUGAGGUAGGCGGAAUUCGUGGUGUAGCGGUGAAAUGCUUAGAUAUCACGAAGAACCCCGAUUGCGAAGGCAGCUUACUAAACUGUGACUGACAUUGAUGCUCGAAAGUGUGGGUAGCAAACAGGAUUAGAUACCCUGGUAGUC
rnacentral:rRNA from 1 species